CCGCCGCCGCCGCCGUCGCCGCAGCCCUCCGCCCAUUGCCUCCACCGCAGCCUUCCGCCCAUAACCGCCUCCCCUCCCCUACCGCGGCUGUCGAGGCGCAAGAGGAGCUCUCCCCGAUCCGCUUCAACCAGCACCAUCGAGCCCCACCUCGUUUUCCUCUCCUCGCUCUCUAAACGGCCAGCAAUUUUCACUUCUCCGGGGAGCGCCGUCCAUGGUGGCACCGUUCACCCAGGCGGCUAACCCUCCUCCGCACCCGUCCCUCCCUCCAGCAGUCACCGGUUACUGCUCUGCCUCCAUAGUCCAUACUCAAGUGCCACCAGCCUCUUCCGCGAUUGCCAUCCACACCCGGCUUGCGCGGUGUCUAUGCCAGCACCAUUCAAGACUCGCGCCACGAAGAAGGCAAGCGGCACCAGCGCUGCGCGGCUUCCCUGCACCCCCUGUGGGUCCUCUUGCGCCACCAGAGCACGCCGGGAAGCGCCCAUAAAGAUGGAGGGUGUGUCGGCAUGCACUACGCCCAGCAACUGCUCGAGGAAAUGGCUCCAAGCUAAGUGCUCACUGAAUAGCUCGUGUUUUCGGGAGUUUUAGCCGAGUAAAACUUAUAGAGCUCAUUUAGUGUGAAACAUAGAAAUGUUACUCUUGAUUCAAGGGAACAUGAUGCAAGUUUUCUGACAACAUUAAGAUUCACUUUGCCACAGGAUCUCUGCCUAGCUGCCAACUUUGCCUUGCUCCCUUGGGUAGUUGGAUAGCUACUGAUAAUGUGAUUUGAUUUAAUAUGUAUAUAUUCAACGCAAGCUGCUUGGGGCUUCAUAACAUUUUACUCCAGUUCUAGGAAGUACUUAUACUACUAUUCCUGUAGGAAAUCUCCCAGCUAUAGCAAUCAAAUAAUGAAACGAAGGUCCUGCUAAUUACUUCCUACCGAAUACCUACAUACCCAAGUAUCAGACCACCUGUUAUAUUUUUCGGAUAAUUUUCGUAAGUUACAAUGCAGAAUUAUUAGGAUUCUCAUCAAGCAUUUGUGCACAAUGGAGAUUUCCAAAUCAGUUAGCACACUGGUUUCUUAGGAUUUGACCAACACAUGUUGAGUAUUUACAUGUUGCCAAAUAUUGCCAAACCCACGAAGAACAAGCUUGAGUUCCUGCCUUCUCGUUGGCACUGUUGUACAAGUAGCCUUCUGAAAUUGCAUCUGGUAUUUCUAUUGUACAGGGUAUUGAUUGUCAACUCUUGAUUUUGGCACAGGAAAUGAUUAUUUCGGCUUGACAACCUCAAUAUCCAUAGUGAAGAUUUGGUUUCUUCACUCCAGAGGUCUUAAUUUGGACUCAGUUGUCUGCUUCAUCAAAUGUCUCUCCUGCUUGCAAAAGCUGUAUAUAAUUUCUCGCCCACAGAAGAAUAUGAAAACAGUGGUCCUCCAGAACUAUGAUGGCAAGAGGCGCAUGAUGCUAACUUCGCCAAUAAAGAUUCAAUGACGUACGUUCUCAUUGAAGUUUCAAAGUAGGUAUUGUAAUACUUUCACAGGAAAUAGGUGUACCCAUGAUUUUGUGGAUGGCUGAUCCCUAUAACAGCUCCUUAUGUAAAUAUUGCAUGAGGAUUUGAUGCCCUUUCCGAAGAUUGUAAUAUAUCUUGUCUAAAGGAAAAAUUUGUUGUGUCUCCUGCA